UGUUUGAUGUUCUAACGUGGACCCGUGAUCCGGGUUGCGGACAGUGUCUGGUGGGUAGUUUGACUGGGGCGGUCUCCUCCUAAAGAGUAACGGAGGAGCACGAAGGUUGGCUAAUCCUGGUCGGACAUCAGGAGGUUAGUGCAAUGGCAUAAGCCAGCUUGACUGCGAGCGUGACGGCGCGAGCAGGUGCGAAAGCAGGUCAUAGUGAUCCGGUGGUUCUGAAUGGAAGGGCCAUCGCUCAACGGAUAAAAGGUACUCCGGGGAUAACAGGCUGAUACCGCCCAAGAGUUCAUAUCGACGGCGGUGUUUGGCACCUCGAUGUCGGCUCAUCACAUCCUGGGGCUGAAGUAGGUCCCAAGGGUAUGGCUGUUCGCCAUUUAAAGUGGUACGCGAGCUGGGUUUAGAACGUCGUGAGACAGUUCGGUCCCUAUCUGCCGUGGGCGCUGGAGAACUGAGGGGGGCUGCUCCUAGUACGAGAGGACCGGAGUGGACGCAUCACUGGUGUUCGGGUUGUCAUGCCAAUGGCACUGCCCGGUAGCUAAAUGCGGAAGAGAUAAGUGCUGAAAGCAUCUAAGCACGAAACUUGCCCCGAGAUGAGUUCUCCCUGAGACUUUAAGUCUCCUGAAGGAACGUUGAAGACGACGACGU
rnacentral:rRNA from 1 species